rnacentral:lncRNA from 1 species
GGGUGUUUGCAGAAUUUCAACGGAGGCAAUUUCUUGGCAUGGUUAAGUUUUAUAUUUAGUUAGAAAAGUUUUUAUUUUAUUUCAGGUCCCGCGCGCGACUUUGUCUCGCGUUAGGUUGUGGCGUCACGUGACGAGGCUUUAUAAUAGAGAAAACUUAGUAUAUUUCUUUCUUUCUAGGGUGAGAUGUUAGACAGACAACAUGUAUAUAACGAGGGAAUACACACGAUGUAUAUUUCUUUUGUCAUUGUAGAAAAUUGACGUUUCGAUCACAGUUCACGAGCAGUGCAUGCUUUGGAUUUAAUUUAUCCUGUGUAACUUUAAAACACGAUUAUUCAUUAUUUUCUUACAAUGUACAUUUCUCAAUAGCAGCUUGUAACACAUUUAUUAUUAUAAUAGGGGAGCAGACAUUUUUUGUAGGAUUUCAUUGAGAUUAACGGACCUAGAGAGCGAUUUUCACGGCAUUGCAAUUCUUUUCUCUACGGAAAUUCUUGGGAGGUAGCUGCAUCACGUUGUUUUGUGAAGUUUUAAUACAUGUAUGUCCUGCUGACUGCAAAUUUUGAGGUCGAUUGGACUUGUAGUUUCAGAGUAUAUCAGAUAACAAGCAUGUGGAUUUUUUUUCAGAAGAGAUCUAUGUAAAUACAAUAUUAAAGAGAAAAAAAACCCGGAGUUGUCGUUCUUCUCCGUUGAAAGGAUAGAUAGCACACAGCUUCAUUCAGCAGUUGUAAGUGGAGGGUAAAAACAAAUAAAAAGGGGGGCAAAAGGAGGUCCCAGGGGACAUUGUUUUUUUUAAUAAAAACGGUACAUACAAAUGGUUAAAAACGCCGUUUUUACAAUAUGAAUCAAUUGUUUAAAAAAAAA